rnacentral:piRNA from 1 species
UGCAUUCCAUUAAGAUGGAAUUUAGUCCUA